rnacentral:sRNA from 1 species
UUAUAUUCUCCGUUGGGGGGGAUGAGAACCCCCGACCGGGGUUCGACAACUGGCGCAGCCAGUUGGACAGACCGCGCGGGCUGCCCCGCAGGGGCGAGCGAAGCGAGUCAAUCCCCCCCUCACCGCCA